AGGAAUAUUGGUCAAUGGGCGAGAGCCUGAACCAGCCAAGUAGCGUGAAGGAUGACUGCCCUAUGGGUUGUAAACUUCUUUUAUAAAGGAAUAAAGUCGGGUAUGGAUACCCGUUUGCAUGUAUUUUAUGAAUAAGGAUCGGCUAACUCCGUGCCAGCAGCCGCGGUAAUACGGAGGAUCCGAGCGUUAUCCGGAUUUAUUGGGUUUAAAGGGAGCGUAGAUGGAUGUUUAAGUCAGUUGUGAAAGUUUGCGGCUCAACCGUAAAAUUGCAGUUGAUACUGGAUAUCUUGAGUGCAGUUGAGGCAGGCGGAAUUCGUGGUGUAGCGGUGAAAUGCUUAGAUAUCACGAAGAACUCCGAUUGCGAAGGCAGCCUGCUAAGCUGCAACUGACAUUGAGGCUCGAAAGUGUGGGUAUCAAACAGGAUUAGAUACCCUGGUAGUCCGCACGGUAAACGAUGAAUACUCGCUGUUUGCGAUAUACUGCAAGCGGCCAAGCGAAAGCGUUAAGUAUUCCACCUGGGGAGUACGCCGGCAACGGUGAAACUCAAAGGAAUUGACGGGGGCCCGCACAAGCGGAGGAACAUGUGGUUUAAUUCGAUGAUACGCGAGGAACCUUACCCGGGCUUAAAUUGCAGAUGAAUUACGGUGAAAGCCGUAAGCCGCAAGGCAUCUGUGAAGGUGCUGCAUGGUUGUCGUCAGCUCGUGCCGUGAGGUGUCGGCUUAAGUGCCAUAACGAGCGCAACCCUUGUUGUCAGUUACUAACAGGUUCCGCUGAGGACUCUGACAAGACUGCCAUCGUAAGAUGUGAGGAAGGUGGGGAUGACGUCAAAUCAGCACGGCCCUUACGUCCGGGGCUACACACGUGUUACAAUGGGGGGUACAGAGGGCCGCUACCACGCGAGUGGAUGCCAAUCCCCAAAACCUCUCUCAGUUCGGACUGGAGUCUGCAACCCGACUCCACGAAGCUGGAUUCGCUAGUAAUCGCGCAUCAGCCACGGCGCGGUGAAUACGUUCCCG
rnacentral:rRNA from 1 species